rnacentral:rRNA from 2 species
UUCGCAAUGCCCGAAAGGGUGACGAAGCGACGCCGCGUGGGUGAGGAAGGCCUUCGGGUUGUAAAGCCCUGUCAGGAGUUAAGAAAUGUAAGUGUGCUAAUAUCGCACUUACUUGACGAAGGCUCCAAAGGAAGUCACGGCUAACUCUGUGCCAGCAGCCGCGGUAAUACAGAGGUGGCAAGCGUUGUUCGUAAUUAUUGGGCGUAAAGAGCACGUAGGUGGGUUUGUAAGUCAGAUGUGAAAGCCCCCUGUUCAACGGGAGAAUUGCAUCUGAAACUACUGAUCUUGAGUAUAGGAGGGGAGAAUGGAACUUCUGGUGGAGCGGUGAAAUGCGUAGAUAUCAGAAGGAACGCCGGCGGCGAAAGCGAUUCUCUGGCCUAUUACUGACACUCAGUGUGCGAAAGCUAGGGGAGCAAACGGGAUUAGAUACCCCGGUAGUCCUAGCCGUAAACGAUGGGCACUAAGUAGAGGGGUUUU